GUGGGGUUAUUUUACGCCAGAACCAUGGGCAGGCUCCAUGGCGCCAUUUCUCCCAAGUUCACAAAAACACACAUAUACUAAAAUUGGAAUGAUACAGAGAUUAGCAUGGGCCUCUGUGCAAGGAUGACUCGCAAAUUCAUUCCAUUAAAAAAAAAAGU
rnacentral:snRNA from 1 species